rnacentral:rRNA from 1 species
GACGAACGCUGGCGGCGUGCUUAACACAUGCAAGUCGAGCGGUAAGGCCCUUUCGGGGGUACGACGAGCGGCGAACGGGUGAGUAACACGUGGGUGACCUGCCCUUAGCUCUGGGAUAAGCCUGGGAAACUGGGUCUAAUACCGGAUAUGACCUCAUGACUCAUGUUGUGGGGUGGAAAGCCUUGUGCGGCUAGGGAUGGGCCCGCGGCCUAUCAGCUUGUUGGUGGGGUAAUUGCCUACCAAGGCGACGACGGGUAGCCGGCCUGAGAGGGCGACCGGCCACACUGGGACUGAGACACGGCCCAGACUCCUACGGGAGGGCAGCAGUGGGGAAUCUUGCGCAAUGGGCGAAAGACCUGGCGCAGCGACGCCGCGUGAGGGAUGACGGCCU